rnacentral:rRNA from 1 species
AAGUCCCUUGGGACGUAAACUCCUUUAGACCGGGCAGAUAAUGACGGUACCGGUGGAAGAAGCCCCGGCUAAAUUCGUGCCAGCAGCCGCGGUAAUACGAGGGGGGCGAGCGUUGUUCUGAAUUAUUGGGCGUAAAGGGCGCGUAGGCGGUGCGGUAAGUCUCCUGUGAAACCUCUCGGCUCAACUCAGAGNNUGCAGGUGAAACUGUCGUGCUCGAGUGUGGGAGAGGUGCGUGGAAUUCCCGGUGUAGCGCUGAAAUGCGUAGAUAUCUGGAGGAACACCUGUGGCGAAAGCGGCGCUCUGGACCACAACUGACGCUGAGGCGCGAAAGCUAGGGGAGCAAACACGAUUAGAUACCCUGGUAGUCCUAGCCCUAAACGAUGGCUGCUUGGUGUGUCGGGUACCCAAUCCGGCCGUGCCGCAGCUAACGCGUUAAGC